rnacentral:rRNA from 1 species
AGUGAAAGCUGGCGGUAGGCCUAACACAUGCAAGUCGAACGGCAGCACAGUAAGAGCUUGCUCUUACGGGUGGCGAGUGGCGGACGGGUGAGGAAUACAUCGGAAUCUACUUUUUCGUGGGGGAUAACGUAGGGAAACUUACGCUAAUACCGCAUACGACCUACGGGUGAAAGCAGGGGAUCUUCGGACCUUGCGCGAUUGAAUGAGCCGAUGUCGGAUUAGCUAGUUGGCGGGGUAAAGGCCCACCAAGGCGACGAUCCGUAGCUGGUCUGAGAGGAUGAUCAGCCACACUGGAACUGAGACACGGUCCAGACUCCUACGGGAGGCAGCAGUGGGGAAUAUUGGACAAUGGGCGCAAGCCUGAUCCAGCCAUACCGCGUGGGUGAAGAAGGCCUUCGGGUUGUAAAGCCCUUUUGUUGGGAAAGAAAAGCAGCAGGUUAAUACCCCGCUGUUCUGACGGUACCCAAAGAAUAAGCACCGGCUAACUUCGUG